UCGAAAUCGGUUUCAAAUUUCUAUUUUUCACUUUUGCAUGCUUCUUUUUCAAGUUUUGCUUCCUUCUUCUUCCAUUCUGCUUCAACUUUGUCAAGAUAGCUAGUGAUAUAUUCAAAAGCUUCAUCAACUGAAUCGGUGAUGAAAAGC
rnacentral:ribozyme from 12 species